CAUAAAUACUGGAAUCUAUUUAGUUCGUGUAGCAUUAGCAAUUGAAGUGGUUUUGUAGGUGGUGCAAGGGUUUGAAGUUAGAACACGUUGUAUAAUGAUUGACGUUGCCAAAAACGGAAGUUAACAAGCAUCAGAAAAUAAAGACAGAAAGGAAAAAAAAGACUACUUUAUUAUACAUAAUAAAAAAGGAUGUAUAGGUAAAAGAGAAAGUGCACUAGCACUAGCUAAGCAGGUCAAGGCUCAAGCGUUUGCAGAUGAUACAUGGAGACACGGGAGAGGAGACGGGAGCAAAACGUCCGCGGGAGUGGAAGCAGCAUGGACUGAGUGGCAUGACGGGACCGAGACUAGAAAUAAAAAGAUGAGGCUUGCUGUAAGGUGUACCUCUUCACUGGAUGCCAUCGCAGGUGGACGCUCUCUCGAUCUCCAAGUUGCUAAGAUUCACAUGCGCCUGGAAUAGUCUCAUGAAAAUGGCAUCAAAAUUGAACUCUUUUAGGUGAAGGUGAACAAAAAUUUGAUGUCUUGGUAAAAUUUAACGUCAAAAAUGUAUAUAACUCCAUCAGCAGGG